rnacentral:sRNA from 1 species
CACAGGUUUGCAGGUUUUGCCUGCAGAGAGGCACAUGCCUCGCAACGUUUUCGGUAUCCCCCAAUUUGGGGAUCCAACGCUCACAGGUACGACCCAUGGUUAUCAUGGUGUGAUAACAUUGCUAGCACUAUGGCCACUAGGUUAUCCAUAGCAAAUAGCCAACGUAACUAUUUGUUAAAUGGUUGCGCUCAUAGUGAUAUAUGCGACCGCCAGCCGUAGCAUAAUGGGGAACCACAUCUAGGGAGCAGCAAAAUGUUUAAAAUUUGAAAAUUUUUGAAAAUCGCGCAGGGGGCCAGAGAAUUCUUUGAUGAUGGUCAUGGUAAAAG